UCAUGCUCAAGCUUGAGAAGCACUGGGCUAGAUGAGCUCCCAUUAAAUGGUCCCCUCCAGGACCAAUAUUGGAUAUUCCUAAGUUACUCCUGGCAGAAUUUCAGAGCACUAGGGAAAAAUACAGUCAAACAAUUUAGUGAUGGGCAACAUAAAAAGAAUACUGGGUCUUAAGUCAGAGAAAACAGUAAAGUAAAUCAUUUAACUUUUGGAGUUAGAGUUAAACUUAACUCAGUUUCUAUCUCAUCUACCAGGGAUAAUAAAACAGCCUCCUUACAGUGCUAUUCUAAGAGUUAAACAAGCUAACAAGAAAACGCUCUGUAAAGUGUUUCCCAAAUGCUUAAACUACUGUUCCCCAAUGUGUAAGAAUAAAAUGACAGCUGACAACCCUUUCCAAGCUGACCUGUUUGUCCUGUCCCACUUAGGACCUUCCUCAUCGAUCUCUUACGAAUGAGAUACGGAGGAUUAAAGGGUGGUGAAUAAGCGGCCAGAACAACCACCUGGCAGCUUAGGAGGCGGGGCGGGAGCCAAAUCUCUGGGCUAAAGUCAGUCCCGCCCUCCCCCUUCAGCAGCCCCCUUCCAGUUCUGGAGACACCUGACCAGCUGAGAGAGCACUGCAGAGGAGCUGGACCCGGACAGAGGUAGUCUGCGGAUGACCCCUCCACGCAGGGCGCAGACACGCCCAGAACGCGGGGUCCUGGGACCAGCUGGCGGGAAGGUGGAGGCGUACCGCAGAGGACGCGCGGAAGAGACAGGGCCCAGAUGACAGCGGGUCCUACCAGCCCGACCAGACUACAUGGACAGGACAGCAGGGCAUAAAGGUGCUGAGGAGGUGACCAUUCCUGGGCUGCAGAGAUGGCAUGAACAGUGACCAGGGCAAGACAACACAGUCCACACAGCUGCAGGUCACUGGAAUUCUUCACAUGCAGUGCUUAAAGCAAUCCUUCAGGACUAAAGGUAGAAGGUGGCUGUGAGUGGAGUGACUCAGGUGGGACCAGCAUGGAUGUGCGGUGGAGUAGCCUGAAGCCAGGCUGCAGGAGGAAUUUGUCUCAAAGACUAAGUCUCACAGCAUCUCUUUGGAAAAGCUAAAAUCACAUGGAAUGAUUUGUGGCAAAUCCCCCCAGUCUGCAUGCUUGUAAUAGAGCAGAACGUGUCAGAUAAAUAGAAUGUAUAUAUUUUGGAGAAGAAUUUCAGCUUAAAUGUUGCCUAAACCUCAUUCAUAGGUAGAUUCUGGAAAGAAGAAUGGCUGAAACCUGGGUGCCAGAUCCUUGAAUGCCACAUUAUAACAUACACGUCACAGAAGUGGUUGGGUAGCAACGUGUGUAUGUACUUGGACACUGUAUUUUGAGUACACUGGGGACCAUGGAAGCAUCGGGACUCCCUCUUCCAGGGAGCUGGAAUCAUCGCAAGCACCUCAGCCAGUGGGUGUGAAACAACGCCCAGGAUUCUGGGUUUAUACUAAUGGAGGUAGAGCACAAACUCUCAAUUUUGGGAACAGCCCCUUCCAACUCUCACAACUUAGUAUUUCUCAUCAACCACAAGAUUGACUGAGCCUUCAUGGCCAAGAAACUUCUGCUGUGCAGAGAUGAAAGCUGUUACUCGUAACUUGACAGCAUGCUCCCGUUAAAUGAUAUCCUGUGCAGGGGACCAAGAAAUGGACAAGAGGAAGAGAGGAGCUUCAAGUGUGUUUUGGGAGACUCUCAGGAAGCACAGCACAUCUCUGGUGAUCUAAGCCUCGAUGCCCGUGAUGCUGUCUUGGACCUGAAACACCCUCGCUUUCUCCUCUCCCGGUGCCAAGGAUGCUGUGGCUCCUCCACGCUCAGGACAUGGUCCUGAAGCCGAGAUGCCCACACGCCUGCUUGAACCUCUGCGGGGCCUGCCUUCUCUGUCUCCAGCAAAGGAAAGGUCAAGUCUAUGGGGCAAGGAACAGAGAAGGGAACAUGUGGGAAUUCUCCACUGUUAAUCUGUCAGUGCUGAGGGAAGGCAGAGCGAAGAUCAACAGACCCCAUGUCUGCCUCUUGCUGAAACCAGACAUCACAUCUAUCUCGCAUGUCUCUGUGAGGCUUCCAUGGCUGUUUUCUUUUCUUAUUUUUUAGAUAAAUAAAUAAAUAAAUAAAUA